rnacentral:rRNA from 1 species
CCUACGGGAGGCUGCAGUGAGGAAUAUUGGUCAAUGGCCGGAACGCUGAACCAGCCAAGCCGCGUGAAGGACGAAGGUGCCAAGCAUUGUAAACUUCUUUUGUCAAGGGACAAAAUCAGGCUCGAGAGCCUGACCGAGGGUACUUGAAGAAAAAGCAUCGGCUAACUCCGUGCCAGCCGCCGCGGUACUACGGAGGAUGCGAGCGUUAUCCGGAUUUAUUGGGUUGAAGGGGUGCGUAGGCGGACUGUUAAGUCAGCGGUAAAAGCCCGGGGCUCAACCCCGGCGAGCCGUUGAAACUGGCUGGCUUGAGAUGUCGAGAGGUAUGUGGAAUGCGCAGUGUAGCGGUGAAAUGCUUAGAUAUUGCGAAGAACUCCGAUUGCGAAGGCAGCAUACCGGCGGCGAUCUGACGCUGAGGCACGAAAGCGUGGGUAUCGAACAGGAUUAGAUACCCGAGUAGUC